rnacentral:misc_RNA from 1 species
CCAUCAUUCAGCAAUUUAUUGUUUCUAGAGGAAAACCGAGUGGACUCAGCGCCAAUUAGUGCUGCUGCACAACCCACAGGGAGUACAGGGCAACAUCGCAUCAAUGUCUCAAUGAUUCAUAUAACCAUAUGCCCUAUGGGGCCAAUCUUCUCAAUAGCACAAUGAGUAAAACAAAUAUGUGGACAAUUCUGCUAACAAGCU